UACGUAGGGGGCAAGCGUUGUCCGGAUUUAUUGGGCGUAAAGGGCGCGCAGGCGGUCUACUCAGUUUUGAGUGACAGGUGGUGGCUUAACUGCCACAGGCCUUGAAAUACUGGUAGACUUGAGGGCUUCAGAGGGGUGCAUGGAAUUUCCGGUGGAGCGGUGAAAUGCGUUGAUAUCGGAAGGAACUCCGGCGGCGAAAGCGAUGCACUGGCUGAUUUCUGACGCUGAGGUGCGAAAGCCAGGGGAGCAAACGGG
rnacentral:rRNA from 1 species